GUAUCUCUGCUCUAAAAGAACGUACGUACCUGGGCCCUCCUACUAUCCUUGGAAAGGUAAAAUGAUUGGCUAGAAUCCAAAGUGUAUGACAUCUCAGGAAAAAAAAAGACCUGAAAUAAAGCACCGAAAUGUGCGCUGCUUUUCGGUCUGGUUACCACCGUUUAUGUCAGAACUGGUGCCAUAAUGGCACCGGAUACUGGUACCCAUCCCUAGUCUGCUCCAAGCAUGCCACAUUUAACUGAUCUGGAUGGGGGCAACUUCAAGAUAGUGUCCGCAAAAUCCAAGUUGCUGCAUUAUUUGGAGUGAGCCCGAGUACAGUCACUAAGCUAAAAGCCAACUUUGAUAUACAGCCCUCCCUCGCUAUAACGCAGUUCACCUUUCGCGGCUUCACUGUUUCACAGAUUUUUUGUGUGUGCAAUUUUGCAGGCUUUCUUUUUUUUUUUUUUUUUUUUUUUUUUUUUUUACAGCGCAUUGUGUUCUGCAUCCUGAUUGGCUGUAGACCAUUGUCAAUCAAUCUCCUCUGUGUCUCCUGUACAGUACAGAAUGCGUUCAGCUUGUCAAAUUUACAUAAAUCUUUGUUCGCUAGCAGUGUGACUCUGAAGUGCUGCACUGUAUGUUUGUAAGUUUUCUCCUCAACAAACACAACAAUGUCGACGAAACGUUUUGUACCGUCAUCUGGGUACUUAUGACCAGAGUGUGUCUCAACAGCAUUUUUCAUUUUUCAACUUCCUCCAUUUACUUCUUGCCUCUAUCUCUUUCACACACACACACACACACACACACACACACACACACACACACACACACACACACACACACACACACACACACACACACACACACACACACACAGGGCAGAUUGUUGAUUGUUUUCUCCUUUCUUUUCACUUACAGGUGCCUUGGUCAUUGUCAUACUAUACUAUGUUACUAGGGGUGCAACAACACUCGUAUCGAUAUUGAACCGUUCGAUACAGUGCUUUCGGUUCGGUACGCAUAUGUAUCGAACAACAUAAAAUUA
ensembl:lncRNA